rnacentral:rRNA from 1 species
GUGCUGCAUGGCUGUCGUCAGCUCGUGCCGUGAGGUGUUGGGUUAAGUCCCGCAACGAGCGCAACCCUCGCCUUUAGUUGCCAGCAUUCAGUUGGGCACUCUAAAGGGACUGCCGGUGAUAAGCCGAGAGGAAGGUGGGGAUGACGUCAAGUCCUCAUGGCCCUUACGCGCUGGGCUACACACGUGCUACAAUGGCGGUGACAGUGGGACGCGAAACCGCGAGGUUGAGCAAAUCCCCAAAAGCCGUCUCAGUUCGGAUUGCACUCUGCAACUCGGGUGCAUGAAGGCGGAAUCGCUAGUAAUCGUGGAUCAGCAUGCCACGGUGAAUACGUUCCCAGGCCUUGUACACACCGCCCGUCACACCAUGGAAGCUGGUCACACCCAAAGUCGUUAUUCUAACCGUUUGGAGGAAGGCGCCUAAGGUAGGAUUGGUGACUGGGGUGAAGUCGUAACAAGGUAGCCGUACCGGAAG